GUGCUCGCUUCGGCAGCACAUAUACUAAAAUUGGAACGAUACAGAGAAGAUUAGCAUAGCCCCUGCGCAAGGAUGACAUGCAAAUUUUAUCAGACCUUCAAAGAAAACUU